GACGAACGCUGGCGGCGUGCUUAACACAUGCAAGUCGAACGGAAAGGCCCUGCUUUUGUGGGGUGCUCGAGUGGCGAACGGGUGAGUAACACGUGAGUAACCUGCCCUUGACUUUGGGAUAACUUCAGGAAACUGGGGCUAAUACCGGAUAGGAGCUCCUGCUGCAUGGUGGGGGAUGGAAAGUUUCGGCGGUUGGGGAUGGACUCGCGGCUUAUCAGCUUGUUGGGGGGGUAGUGGCUUACCAAGGCUUUGACGGGUAGCCGGCCUGAGAGGGUGACCGGCCACAUUGGGACUGAGAUACGGCCCAGAAUCCUACGGGAGGCAGCAGUGGGGAAUAUUGCACAAUGGGCGGAAGCCUGAUGCAGCAACGCCGCGUGCGGGAUGACGGCCUUCGGGUUGUAAACCGCUUUCGCCUGUGACGAAGCGUGAGUGACGGUAAUGGGUAAAGAAGCACCGGCUAACUACGUG
rnacentral:rRNA from 1 species